rnacentral:misc_RNA from 1 species
UUUAUUCUUAUUGUUAAUAAGUUAUUAAUUAUUACAUAAAUAAAAAAUGAAACAGAAUUAUGAUCGGUUAAGAUAUUUGGAUAUUAGUCCAUCAAUUUUCUUCCUCAAGGUCACAUAUGCUCUUCUCUAAUUAUAUCAAUCCUCUUUCGAGUAUUCACCAUCUCUUUUCAAGUAUGCAAACUGAUGCUUCAUAUGCCCUGUGUAAAGCAUCUCUUUCAUCAGGCAUUUUAUAAGAUAAAAACAGUUAAUCAAGCGUCUUUGUUAUUUGAUUUGAACAUUAUAUUAGUGGAUGCAUGUGUUCAUUACAGAAGUUGUAUGCUUCUGUAAAGUUGCCACAAAUUUCAUUGUAAUGUCUUUCCAAUUUCGAUAUGAACUCCUUAUCAAAGGCUUAACUACUGAUAAGUUUUUAGAGCAUGUACUGAGCUAUCUCAUGUGUGCCUCACUGCCUCCUUAUAAAAUAGCAAAAUAGUUUUGUAUUGAGUUUUUGUGUAAGAAGAUAUGUUUCAUAAUCUUCUCAAGCAUAGUCUUUGAAUCAUGCCAUCUGGUUUAAUUAUUUAUUUAUGAAUAUCUAUUAUCUAAUGGUUCCACUUGUCUGGUUCUUUGAACAUUAUAGCAUACAUGGAUACAUAUUACAAGCACUUGUGUGUUUUUCUUCAUACUAUGAGAAUUUUUUUUUUUUUU